GAAAUGCGAUAAGUAAUGUGAAUUGCAGAAUUCAGUGAAUCAUCGAAUCUUUGAACGCACAUUGCGCCCGCCAGUAUUCUGGCGGGCAUGCCUGUUCGAGCGUCAUUACAACCCUCAGGCCCCCGGGCCUGGCGUUGGGGAUCGGCGGAAGCCCCCUGCGGGCACAACGCCGUCCCCCAAAUACAGUGGCGGUCCCGCCGCAGCUUCCAUUGCGUAGUAGCUAACACCUCGCAACUGGAGAGCGGCGCGGCCACGCCGUAAAACACCCGACUUCUGAAUGUUGACCUCGAAUCAGGUAGGAAUACCCGCUGAACUUAAGC
rnacentral:misc_RNA from 1 species